GAGAGGCAGGGGGGACUAACUUGUCGUACAAACCUUGACCAAGAAUGAAGAGUCGAACGGUCAUGUUGACAAAGAUCCAGGAGAAUCCCAGGAACUGCACCAGGUUGUACAUAAACAAGUAGCCUUUCUUCAGCCCGAGUUCCUACCUUUGCCUGAAGCUCCAUCUCGGCGUCGGACUCGUCCAGCCAGCGGUCGAAGUCGGGAGCCAAAAACAGAGGCUUCUUUUCCUGCAGGGUCAGCCGGUCCCACCAGCGCUCCUCCUGCUUCUUGAUCUUGAUGUCCACCUGACGCUGGGUGGACUUAUGGUUGAUCUGAAUACACAAUAUUAAAAAAUUAUAAAAGGUUUCUUAAAGCUAGGGCUGAUGUCGAGAUUCUGAAAAACAUAAAGGCAGCCAUCAAGACCAACCCGACACUGACGCACACAAUAGACAAAAUUAUGAGAUGGAAAUUAAAGGACAAGUCUCGUGAAAUUCCAUAUUUUUCUCAUUGUCAACAAAUCCCAUGACAAUCCUACAACCAAGUAUGUGUUAGUCUCUCAAUUGUUGUAUACUUUCCUACCCUGUCUGUUUCACUCAACACCAAGCCCAUUGGUUCCUACUGAAGGCGUAAAGCUUUAAAAAAAAAAAAAAUAGUUUCUUCUUCUUUUCCUUUCGGCUGUUCCCUUUCAGGGGUCGCCACAGCGAAUCAUGUGCCUCCAUCUAA